rnacentral:lncRNA from 1 species
CGACGACGUGUUUACUGUUUGCUUUUUUUUAGGUCCUUUGUCUGCUGUUAGGUCGGGGCUUUUGCAAUGGUUAGCGGUGUGAAGGACUUAUCAGCUGUCUAGAUCGUUGGGGAACUGCCACUGGUAUGUGAGGAGGUCCACAUGGUUGUGGACGAGACCCAGUCACUAGACGAGGCCUUUUCUGCUGACCAGGUGUCAAAUGGGGUUCCCUUGGUGCAAGCCGAUAGGACAUACUUUGGGGAUGGAAGAUCUUCAGUUUCCAGAGUUGGCUUUGACUGAAGCAGGACCAGUGGAGGAUCUGCUACCAGAUAUACAUGUAGUUCUUUCCAAGGUUGCAUGUUGACUGCAACAGGCUACUAACACAGGUGUUGGAUGCCACAACUGACACUGCUCUAAAGGUAAUAGACACAUUUUUUACAUACCGUUAAAAUUGUUUAAUCUAAAUUUUUAAGCUACUGAGUGUUAAAUUCUUUUUCUGAAUGAAAAUUGAGUUGUCUUUUGCAACCGGAAUUACAGAGAUAAUGUUUUUAUUGCAAUAUUUUUAUGUUUGUGUCGUAAAGAUUUUUUUUCUAUUUUCAGAGGGAUCUGCAGUUGGGAGAGCUGAUCGUUUGUUUUCAGUUUUGUACAUAUUUUAAUGUUAUGACAUGUUUUAAAAUCUGA